rnacentral:rRNA from 1 species
ACCCUAUAGAGUUUGACAAUUUGCUUAUUUUAUGUAUCAUUAGUUUGUUUCUAUUAUUUAAUAGGUUAUAUUGUUUUGUUGGGGUGAUGGGAGGAAUAAUUUUAACUCCUCUUUGUUUAGUAUAUUUAUAUAUAUUAUUUUGAUCCAUUAAUUUUGAUUAUAAGAUUAAAUUACCUUAGGGAUAACAGCGUUAUCUUCCUUGAGAGUUCUUAUUGGCAGGAAGGUUUGCGACCUCGAUGUUGGAUUAAGGUGAAUUUUCGGUGCAGGAGCUGAAAUGAUUAGGUCUGUUCGACCUUUAAAAUCUUACAUGAUCUGAGUUCAGACCGGCGUGAGCCAGGUUGGUUUCUAUCUAUUAUAAUGUUUUAUGUCUUAGUACGAGAGGACCGGGCAU